GUUAGACAUUUCUGUAAUUUUUACAGUUAUUUACUGUAUAUCACCCAGUAUAAUACUGUAAACUAUUUAUACAGUACAUAACUGUAAUUCGCGUUGCAUUUUGGGAAUUUUCGGUGACAUCAUACAUCAUAUACAGUAAUCUACUUUAUUUUUGAAAAUUGCUGUAUGCUACUGUAUAUUUUCUAACAGUUUUUUGGCGGUAUUUUCCUUAUUCACACAAAUCCUUAUAUUAUUUUUCUCAAAAUCAUCAUUUUUGACAAUUGUAUACACACAGGCGUUGACUUAUUUUAGCUAAGGAACCAUGUAGCAGCACAGGUGUUCAGAGGACCGAUUUCAGGUGUGCACAUAAACUGAAGAGUUUUCAAACAAGCCUUUCCCUGGGACAGCGGCGCUUUUCAGUUGAAGAUACACGAGAGGAGAGACUGAAAAAAGACCAGCAAGGUAAAAUAAUCUAUAUAAGUUAUUUAUUAUCAGACCCGCGGUUGUUGUUUACACGAACGGGACAUUUUAAAACCGUUAACCGGACGCGUUGCUUAACGUAUAACGGUAAUAUUAGUUUGCAAAGUCAGUAUAAACCAAAUUAAUAAAUCAUACUAUGUGUAUGCAAGCCUACGAGCACACGCGAUGCGUUAAAUUACACGCUAGUGUUUUCCUUUUAUAAAACUAUUAUGAAGAAAUGCUUAACGUAGCCUAAUGUAUACGUCACUGAUAUGAAAAGAUCAGAUUUAACGUUACCUGAGAGAAUAAUUUAUUAAUAUAAAAGCAUAUUUAACAAAGUACCCUAAAUUACAUGAAGCUGGGAGGAAAACUCUAAAUGUGUAAGUUACCACGUUGUGUUUAUAUUCUCAUCCGCUUGGCUUUACCUGUUACAUAAAUUAUGCGUUAUUAAUAAGGUGUAUAACUAAAUUUUAUCUUUCAAAUUCGUUAAACUACGUUAAGCAUUUUAGCGUAUGUUAUGUGUGUGUGGUGGCCAAUCGGAAAAACAUUAUAUUUUAAAUGUGAAUAUGUUUAAACAUAAAGGCUGAAACCUAAUUUGCAUAAAAUAAAGUUUUAAAAUGUGUUUUUGUUUUGUAUUAAAUUGCUUUUGAGACCAAGGUAGCUGUACAGUAAAUAUUCAGCCUCGAUCAGAAAACCACGUCCCACUGUCAUAACACACAGACCUGUGGCCAUGUGUAGUGAUUUGAGUAGUGUACAUCUACUCUGGUUAUCAUUUCAAAACAGUAUUUACUGAAAAAUAUGAGUGUUUAGCAUCAUGUAUUAAAUGUGUUAAAUAUGUCCUUUUUUUCCCUGCCUUUAUUCUGCUGUCUAAAAUUCUUUGGGAGGAUAAAUGAAGGAGGAUAUAACAAAAUACACUGCAAGAACUGGAAUGAGAGACAAGUGAGGAUGAAGAGGACAACAGAAUAUCCAUCCUUUCUUCACCACCUCACAGAGUUUGAGUGAAACAACUUGUAUUAGGACUCACAGGAUUAUUUUAUAACAAGACUGAUUAUUUUAUACCAGAAGUAUGGUAUUUUUUUGAAGCUACUGUAUUAUUUCUUAUGACAAUUCAUUUUGAUGUGCAUUCAGAACUGUAAGUUGGUAAGUACAUUUACUGUAUUUACUGUAAGUAAAGGCUAAAGAGUAUAUCUCCUCUAGUUCUAAGUUCUAGUUCUAAGUUUUAACAACGUUCCCAAAGGUCCCAAUAAUGUUAAGCCAACAUAAAAGUGUCCAGUUUUUAAAUUGUUUAGGAAUGUUUCUUGAUUGUGCGAAUGUUAGAGGAAUGUUACAUUUUAUUUUCAGACAAUGUCAUGUUUAAAUGUACUCACAAUGUUUAAAACACAUGUUUAGUAUAUUUUAUGAAUGUUUAUAAAUAAUAAAUAAUAGAAUGUAAUGUUUUUUUAUCAUUACAAGCAAAAACAUUCAUAACGUUAUUCGGAACUUUGGGAACUUUCAAGGAACGUUCUUAGACCUUUCUCUGUGGUUGAGCAUUGUGUUAGCAUCAUUAAACGCCAUGGGUUCAAACAAGGGAAUGCACAUGCUGAUAAAAAAUGUAUACUUUGCAUUGCACUGUAUGUUAUUUGCCUUUUUCUGUAAAUGUGAAGAUAAAUGUAAAGACAGACAGUCAUUGUUUCAUUUUAAACCAGUUCUAUUUUAAGAGAACUUAACUAGACUAAAUAAAAUGGUCACAAAAAAUUUAAUUUUGCUAUUAUGAUGCUGGUUUUCUGGUUACAGUGGUAGUGGAUCAUGAUCACCUCUCUAGCUUCAAAAGUAGGAUGCAGAAUGUAUAACACCAAAUCAUUAUAGCAUAACUCCAUGUAACUUGACAUAAUUUAAA